ensembl:lncRNA
CAGGUAGCCUAGUGGUUAGAGUGUAGAGGAGGCAGGUAGACUAGUGGUUAGAGUGUAGAGGAGGCAGGUAGCCUAGUGGUUAGAGUGUAGAGGAGGCAGGUAGCCUAGUGGUUAGAGUGUAGAGGAGGCAGGUAGCCUGGUGGUUAGAGUGUAGAGGAGGCAGGUAGCCUAGUGGUUAGAGUGUGGAGGAGGCAGGUAGCCUAGUGGUUAGAGUGUAGAGGAGGCAGGUAGCCUAGUGGUUAGAGGAGGCAGGUAGACUAGUGGUUAGAGUGUAGAGGAGGCAGGUAGCCUAGUGGUUAGAGUGUAGAGGAGGCAGGUAGCCUAGUGGUUAGAGUGUAGAGGAGGCAGGUAGCCUAGUGGUUAGAGUAGGCCGUAAUUGUAAAUAAGAAUUUGUUCUUAACGGACUAGUUAAAUACUGGUUAAAUGAAUAAACAUGUAAAGUCUGACUGUGUCCUGGCUCUAGCUGUGGUGUGUUGGGAGCGGUUAGAGUUGGGUUGUCUGCUGGUCGUUGUCUCUCCAUCACUCUCACUGGAGCUCACAAUACGCUGGGCCUUCCGACCAGCACGCCUCAACAAUGGCUUCCUAAAACACACACACAGGUCAGAUAGAGACAGACGGGUCAGAUCGAGACAGACAGACGGGUCAGAUCGAGACAGACAGACGGGUCAGAUAGAGACAGACGGACGGGUCAGAUAGAGACAGACAGACGGGUCAGAUAGAGACAGACAGACGGGUCAGAUAGAGACAGACAGACGGGUCAGACAUUUGAAGACCAGAAAGGUAAUGCCACCAGUCUGACCUGGCUGUGUUGUUGCUCUGCUGCUGGGGAGGAGGAGGAGGCGGGACGAUGAAGAUGUUCUCUUCAUCACUGUCCUGCUCUCUCAGACAGGACAGGGCUUUGGUCUUCGCUAGUCGCAGCUCACUACUGAUAUCUGCUGUCCAGGACAGGGCUUUGGUCUUAGCCGGCCGUAGCGCUCUACUGCCAUCUGCUGUACUUCUCUUUCUCCCUCUGGAACAGGGGAAGGGAGGCCGGGAGGAGA